GUCUGAUAAUGCAGACCAUACGAUGCAAAUCAAUGGCAAAGAGAAGUUACAUAUCCUGCUGUAUUAGUCCAUUUUCACACUGCUGGUAAAGACAUACCUGAAACUGUGCAAUUUAUAAAAGAAAGAGGUUUAAUGGGCUUACAGUCUCACAUGGCUGGGGAGGCCUCAGAAUCAUGGCCAAAGGCAAGGAGAAGCAAGUCACAUCUUACAUGGAUGGCAGGGGGCAAAGAGAGAGCUUGUGCUGGGAAACCUUUGUUUUUAAAACCAUCAGAUCUCAUGAGACUCAUUCACCAUCAUGAGAACAGCAUGGGAAAGCUCC
rnacentral:lncRNA from 10 species